rnacentral:rRNA from 1 species
AUGUCAUAUAUAAAAAUAGUACAAUUUGUGAGCUUCUUGCAGACUAAUGAUGAGUUACUAGAUAAACUAAGGGUCAUCUUUUGUGGGCUCAUGGCCGGAACACGAAGCUCAAGUUGUGGUCCAGUAUGUCAGAAAAAUUCAGCCACCCCGUGUCGAGGAACUUUGCCUCGACAGUACAACAUCACACUCUGUUGUUGGUUGCGAGAAGAGCUGCGUGCAGGCCACCCCGUGUCCGCCCUUGAUCCGUCUCAGUCAUCUCCCUCUCAUCCUCUCUCUCUGAUCUGCGUUUCUGUGUGCAGGGAGUGGGAGGAGAUAGAGCAGGGGAGUGGAAGGCCCUUCCAUGGCAAAUUCGUUGGCAUCUUCCAUGGAGAUUGCGACCUCUCUUGA